rnacentral:ncRNA from 1 species
UCAGACAAGGGCACACCCGUCGCGAGGCGGGGCCGCAAAGCCACGGGACCCACGCGGUCAGCCGGGCUGCCGACC